ACCUACGGGGCGCAGCAGUGGGGAAUAUUGGGCAAUGGGCGCAGGCCUGACCCAGCAACGCCGCGUGAAGGAAGAAGGCUUUCGGGUUGUAAACUUCUUUUACGAGGGAAGAGCAGAAGACGGUACCUCUUGAAUAAGCCACGGUUAACUACGUGCCAGCAGCCGCGGUAAUACGUAGGUGGCAAGCGUUGUCCGGAUUUACUGGGUGUAAAGGGCGUGUAGCCGGGCUGACAAGUCAGAUGUGAAAUCCGGGGGCUCAACCCCUGAACUGCUUUUGAAACUGUUGGUCUUGAGUAUCGGAGAGG
rnacentral:rRNA from 1 species